rnacentral:rRNA from 1 species
UAGGGUGCAAGCGUUAUCCGGAAUUAUUGGGCGUAAAGAGCUCGUAGGCGGUCUGUCGCGUCUGCUGUGAAAACUGGGGGCUCAACCCCCAGCCUGCAGUGGGUACGGGCAGACUAGAGUGCGGUAGGGGAGAUUGGAACUCCUGGUGUAGCGGUGGAAUGCGCAGAUAUCAGGAAGAACACCGAUGGCGAAGGCAGAUCUCUGGGCCGUAACUGACGCUGAGGAGCGAAAGCAUGGGGAGCGAACAGGAUUAGAUACCCUGGUAGUCCAUGCCGUAAACGUUGGGAACUAGAUGUAGGGUCCAUUCCACGGAUUCUGUGUCGCAGCUAACGCAUUAAGUUCCCCGCCUGGGGAGUACGGCCGCAAGGCUAAAACUCAAAGGAAUUGACGGGGGCCCGCACAAGCGGCGGAGCAUGCGGAUUAAUUCGAUGCAACGCGAAGAACCUUACCAAGGCUUGACAUAUAGAGGAAAAGGCUGGAAACAGUCUCCCCGCAAGGUCUCUAUACAGGUGGUGCAUGGUUGUCGUCAGCUCGUGUCGUGAGAUGUUGGGUUAAGUCCCGCAACGAGCGCAACCCUCGUUCUAUGUUGCCAGCACGUAAUGGUGGGAACUCAUAGGAGACUGCCGGGGUCAACUCGGAGGAAGGUGGGGAUGACGUCAAAUCAUCAUGCCCCUUAUGUCUUGGGCUUCACGCAUGCUACAAUGGCCGGUACAAAGGGCUGCAAUACCGUAAGGUGGAGCGAAUCCCAAAAAGCCGGUCUCAGUUCGGAUUGAGGUCUGCAACUCGACCUCAUGAAGUCGGAGUCGCUAGUAAUCGUGGAUCAGCAACGCCACGGUGAAUACGUUCCCGGGCCUUGUACACACCGCCCGUCAAGUCAUGAAAGUCGGUAACACCCGAAGCCAGUGGCCU